UCCCCACAAACCAUCCCCUUUUCUCAGCUUCCUCCCAUCACCCAAGCUUGCAGCCCAGGGCUCAGCCUUGACUCUGCCCUGAGGACUUCCGGGGGUGGGGGCUCCCCCUCUGAGGCUGCUGUGCCAGCGUGACAGGUAGGCUUGCUGCUUCCUCAGAGCUCGCUCGUGCAGAAGCUUGGGUCCCUGCUGCUCCCCACCCCCGCCAGUCCCAGAGGGCAGCUCCAAGGUCCCUAACAUCCCAAGGCACACGGCCCUGCCAUGAGGCUAGGGUAGACCUUCUCCUCUCCGAAGGCAUCGCUGAAAUCAUCCUGGAGACGUGCUGCAUUUGAAGUCAGAUGUCCAGGAUUCAAAUCCUGGCUCUGCUCAAUACCCACGUCUUUUCUCCCUUUGGGCCUCAGUUUCCCCUUCUGUACAAUGGGUGAUUGCACUGGACGGCUGGUGAGUUCCCUUCCGAGCUCUGAAUCCAUGGUCCUAUGGUCAAGUCAGUCCUGCUGCCCAGGGAGGCGUCUGGCAUUGACCCUGGAUCCCUGGACCUGUGGCCGUGAUGCCCUCCUGGCCAGGAGUCUGGUUCUGCCCCUGCCCACCCUUUGGUUCAAGAAAUCAGGUUUCACUGCAGGUGACAGUCUGUGCUUACCUGGUGCUAAGCCGUUGAGAACAGUGACUUGGGUCACUGAAGGGCAGUGCGACAAACAGUGUUAACAGACAGCUGUAUGCUAAAGCGGUACCAUCUGGUCCAGUUCCAGGCACGACAUUCUGGGAAGGAUGCUGACAAGCUACAAAGC
ensembl:lncRNA